UUAACAAAAUGUAGCUUAGCAAAGCACCUCGCUUACACCGAGUAGACAUCCGUGAAAUUCGGAUCAUUUUGAGCCCUAAACCAAGCCUAAACUUUUAACCUUGUAACCCCACCCUCACUCCACCACCCCCAAAAACAUUUUUCCUUUCUAGUAGAGGCGAUCAAAAAAUUUCUUAGAGCUUCACAUUCAGUACCGCAAGGGAAUGGUGAAAUAGAUCUGAAAUAGCCUUAAAGCAUAAAAAAGCAGAGACCUCUCUCGUACCUUUCGCAUCAUGGUUUAGCCAGCCCUAAUCAAGCAAAGAGUAACAUCAGUUUGACAUCCCGAAACUGAGCGAGCUACUUCGAAACAGCUGUUAGAGCCAACCCGUCUCUGUUGCAAAAGAGUGGGACGAUUUCCAAGUAGAGGUGAUAAGCCUAUCGAGCUCAGAGAUAGCUGGUUAUUCAGGAAAAGAAUCUUAGUUCUCCCUUAAGUUUUUUAAUUAUUAUUAAAAGCCUUUUAAACUUAAGAGCUAUUCAAAUAAGGCACAGCUUAUUUGAAACAGGGCACAACCUAGAAUUAAGGGUAAGUAACAUCACUACCUUCAAAGUAGGCCUGAAAGCAGCCAUCUUUAAAAAAGCGUUAAAGCUUAAUCUCCCAUCAAACCCCAAAUACCAUUCCCUGCUGCGAACCCUUCACCCGUACUGAAUGACCCUAUACUUUUAUAGGAGACAUAAUGCUAAAACUAGUAACAAGAAGUAGACCUUCUCCACAAUGUAAACAUAAGCCAAACCGGACCAACCAUUGGCCACUAACGUAUAUGAAUCUCCUAUAGUAACGCUCUCUCAAGAAAAACCUAUUCACCCUCAACGUUAACCUAACACAAGUACAUUUCUGGAAAGAUUAAAAGAAAAAGAAGGAACUCGGCAAAUCUAGACCCCGCCUGUUUACCAAAAACAUCGCCUCUUGUCACCCAUAAGAGGUCCAGCCUGCCCAGUGAUACAAUUAAACGGCCGCGGUACUCUGACCGUGCGAAGGUAGCAUAAUCACUUGUUCUUUAAUUAAGGACUAGCAUGAACGGCAUCACGAGGGCCUUACUGUCUCCUUUCUCCAAUCAGAGAAACUGAUCUCCCCGUGAAGAAGCGGGGAUUAUACUAUAAGACGAGAAGACUCCAUGGAGCUUUAAACCCAACAGACAACCCUUAGCCCCUCACCCCCCAAAACUUUUAGGCCCUGUCUGCUGGUUUUAGGUUGGGGUGACCGCGGAGUAAAACUUAUCCUCCACAAUGUAUGGGACUCCUCCCCUUAUCCACGAGCCACUGCUCUAAGAAUCAACAAAUUGACAACAAAUGAUCCAAUUUUCUGAUCAAUGAACCAAGUUACCCUGGGGAUAACAGCGCAAUCCAUUUUAAGAGCCCUUAUCGACAAAUGGGUUUACGACCUCGAUGUUGGAUCAGGGUACCCAAGUGGUGCAGCCGCUACUAACGGU
rnacentral:rRNA from 1 species